rnacentral:rRNA from 1 species
UACGUAGGUGACCAGCGUUGUCCGGAUUUACUGGGCGUAAAGAGCGCGCAGGCGGUCGUUCAAGUCGAGUGUGAAAGCCCCCGGCUCAACUGGGGAGGGUCACUCGAUACUGAUCGACUGGAAGGCAGGAGAGGGAAGCGGAAUUCCCGGUGUAGUGGUGAAAUGCGUAGAUAUCGGGAGGAACACCUGUGGCGAAAGCGGCGCACUGGACCACAACUGACGCUGAGGCGCGAAAGCUAGGGGAGCAAACAGG